rnacentral:rRNA from 1 species
GACGAACGCUGGCGGCGUGCUUAACACAUGCAAGUCGAGCGGAAAGGCCCUUCGGGGUCCUCGAGCGGCGAACGGGUGAGUAACACGUGAGUAAUCUGCCCUUGGCUUUGGGAUAACUACCGGAAACGGUGGCUAAUACCGGAUACGACAACCGUCUGCAUGGGCUGGUUGUGGAAAGUUUUUUCGGCCAGGGAUGUGCUCGCGGCCUAUCAGCUUGUUGGUGGGGUAAUGGCCUACCAAGGCUUCGACGGGUAGCCGGCCUGAGAGGGUGACCGGCCACACUGGGACUGAGACACGGCCCAGACUCCGACGGGAGGCAGCAGUGGGGAAUAUUGGACAAUGGGCGGAAGCCUGAUCCAGCAACGCCGCGUGAGGGAUGACGGCCGUCGGGUUGUAAACCUCGUGCAGUACCGACGAAGCGCCGAUGAUGGUGGUGACGGUAGGUACAGAAGAAGCACCGGCCAACUACGUG